UAAUACGUUUACGGGAGCUUGUGGAAUCAGGCUGAGAGUACGGCUAAUCCGCCGUUGACCGUUUGAACCUGUUGGAUAAUGCCAGCGCAGGGAAAGAGAGUAUGGACAAG
rnacentral:ncRNA from 2 species